rnacentral:rRNA from 1 species
CCAGCACCUGCGGUAAUUCCAGCUCCAAUAGCGUAUAUUUAAGUUGCUGCAGUUAAAAAGCUCGUAGUUGGAUUUCGGGUGGGGCCCGCUGGUCCGCCGUUUCGGUGUGCACUGGUGGGGCCCACCUUGGUGCCGGGGACGAGGUCCUGGGCUUUACUGUCUGGGACUCGGAGUCGGCGAGGUUACUUUGAGUAAAUUAGAGUGUUCAAAGCAGGCCUACGCUCUGAAUACAUUAGCAUGGAAUAACACGAUAGGACUCUGGCCUAUCCUGUUGGUCUGUAGGACCGGAGUAAUGAUUAAGAGGGACAGUCGGGGGCAUUCGUAUUUCAUUGUCAGAGGUGAAAUUCUUGGAUUUAUGAAAGACGAACUACUGCGAAAGCAUUUGCCAAGGAUGUUUUCA